UACGAAGGGGGCGAGCGUUGUUCGGAUUUACUGGGCGUAAAGGGCGCGUAGGCGGCGGGUCAAGUCGAGUGUGAAAGCCCCGGGCUCAACCUGGGAAUUGCGCUCGAGACUGGUCUGCUUGAGUUCGGGAGAGGAGCGUGGAAUUCCCAGUGUAGAGGUGAAAUUCGUAGAUAUUGGGAAGAACACCGGUGGCGAAGGCGGCGCUCUGGACCGAGACUGACGCUGAGGCGCGAAAGCGUGGGGAGCAAACGGG
rnacentral:rRNA from 1 species